AAGUAAGGACUACCCUUAGGAGCUGCCCGCUUUGGGUCUCCUCUCUGCUGAGCUGUUCUGCUACUCAGUAAAACUUCUCCACCUUGCUCACCUUCCAGUUGUCCACGUAACCUCAUUCUUCCUGGACAAAGGACCAGAAUUCGGGACCCACCCAACAGUGGGCAUGAAAAGGGCUGCAACACUUUCCUGGCCAACUCACCAAACUGUGGUGGUGACAUGCUCCCAUUUGCUGGACUGCAGGAGUGAAAAGCAGUGACACUUCUGGGGGCCGAGACAUCAGGAUUUCCCAAGCCAGGGCUGUAACACUAUAGCCUUCCUGCCUUCUGCCUGCAUUGGGCAGCUGCCCCAUGUGACAGGAAGUGGCAGUGGAGCUGGGCCAGCCUGGGAGCCGCCGGCUGGGGUGAGGUGGUGGGACUGAACAAGCUGAAACCUGCUCCCCCUGCUCGCCGAGCCGCGGGUGGAGAGAAUGAGAGAGCACGCCUGACCCACUCCUUGAGGCUCUGCAGUUGCUGGCGUCCCCAAGUUUUUAGGUGCCACCGCAUCCCCCUUUUCCAGACACCAGCACCUGCACCAGAAACUACGUGUGGUACGCCUGCUCCAGCUGCAGCCUGGCAAGGAGCCGGCACCUCUGCCAGCACCCAGAGCUGCCUGCCCCACCACAGCUGGCCGGACCCUGUGUUAGCUCUCUCACACACCCUUCAGUGCUCUGAGCCUGGUUUGCCCUCAUCAGGCGUGGGAUCCGGGUUGGGCGAACUGAGUGCAGCCUGCCGGGCUGAGUGGGUGGAACGAGCACAGUGGGAGUGAGUGAAACUCAAGCAGGGGCGCCACAGGCCACAAUGGUUCCCGGCUGGCAGAGUGACACCUGAAGGAUCCCGUGACAUUUCGAUUAUUUCUGCUCAUAGCAUAAACUCUUAUAUGAUUAUGAUAUUGUACUUAUAGAGCUUUGAAGAGGAUAAAAUGAAAUAAAAUGGGAAAACACUCAGUGAAAUGCCUCAUAUGUAAUUACCAUGUAACGGUU
rnacentral:lncRNA from 10 species